rnacentral:rRNA from 1 species
AACAAACGCUGGCGGCGUGCAUAACACAUGCAAGUCUAACGGGAAUGUCGGCUUCGGCUGACUAGUACCGUGGCGAACGGGUGAGUAACACGUGGGUAAUCUAACCUCAAGUUUGGGAUAACCUUGCGAAAGCGGGGCUAAUACCGAAUAAGACCACGCUCUGUCCGCAGAGUGCGGUGAAAGGCGGCCUCUUCUUGAAAGCUGUCACUUGAGGAUGAGCCCGCGGCCUAUUAGCUAGUUGGUGGGGUAAUGGCCUACCAAGGCAACGAUGGGUAGCCGGCCUGAGAGGGUGUACGGCCACACUGGCACUGAGAUACGGGCCAGACUCCUACGGGAGGCAGCAGUGGGGAAUUUUGCGCAAUGGGGGGAACCCUGACGCAGCAACGCCGCGUGAGUGAUGAAGGCCUUCGGGUCGUAAAGCUCUUUUAGUGGGGAAGAAUCCCACCCGGGCUAAUACCUCGGGUGUCUGACGGUACCCACAGAAAAAGUUCCGGCUAACUACGUGCCAGCCGCCGCUGUAACAC